rnacentral:rRNA from 1 species
CCUACGGGGGGCAGCAGUGGGGAAUAUUGCACAAUGGGGGAAACCCUGAUGCAGCGACGCCGCGUGAAGGAAGAAGUAUUUCGGUAUGUAAACUUCUAUCAGCAGGGAAGAAGAUGACGGUACCUGACUAAGAAGCCCCGGCUAACUACGUGCCAGCAGCCGCGGUAAUACGUAGGGGGCAAGCGUUAUCCGGAUUUACUGGGUGUAAAGGGAGCGUAGACGGAGCAGCAAGUCUGAUGUGAAAGACCGGGGCGUAACCCCGGGCCUGCAUUGGAAACUGUUGAUCUUGAGUGCCGGAGGGGUAAGCGGAAUUCCUGGUGUAGCGGUGAAAUGCGUAGAUAUCAGGAGGAACACCGGUGGCGAAGGCGGCGUACUGGACGGCAACUGACGUUGAGGCUCGAAAGCGUGGGGAGCAAACAGGAUUAGAUACCCUGGUAGUC